UCUGGUGUUAGUUGAGCUGCUGUGGUUUUGUUGAAGGCCACUCUCAAGUCCAGGUGAGCUGUUGGUUGCAUUCCCCUGUUGGAGUUUGAAUGUUUGAAAACUACUUUUUGCUGAAGGACUUAUCACCUGUCUGGGUACUGAAGCUUUAUACUAUUUCUUCUGCUGAUAAACCUGAGGCUGCUUGUAGCUAUACAUCUUUUGUGCCAAGGCUGAAUGUGGUAGCUAUGACUGCUACAAAUCCUGCCAGUGGGAAUUAUAGCCUAUUACUGCUGGAGGGAUUUGAUGGGCCUGUGUAUUUCUGGAGAGCUGGUUGGAGUCUAGCUGACUGAGAAUAUAUCUAUGCCUUGUUUUUGAGACUGUUUCUGGAAAUGGACUUGACACUGGAAAAUACUAUAAUGACUGGAACACAAAUGGAGAUGCCCUUGGCAGAAACCAAGAGAAUGAGCUUGAACAAAGGGAGUGAAGUGCAAGUAGUGGACUCUAUACAUAAAAGUUCUGUUAGAAAACAACUUGAGGGCUGUGAAGAAGCAAGUGGUCAAAAACUGCCUCAGCAAAUUCAAGAGUACCAGAAGUGAUGUGCCUCUGUUGUGGGUCACUAUAGCAAGUAUUGGAACAUGUCCUGCUAAAAUGGCUCGGUAUAAACUCUAAAACAUGGAAGUAUGUUGUAGUCCUCAAUCUAGGCAGCAAAUAUCUAUAGUUAAAGUACUAAAUAUUACUGUUUUGAUUGUGAAUUAGAGCCCUAUACUUGUGAAGAUGUGCAUUACUCCUUGUGAGGAUAUCAAAGGACAUCAGAUUGAUACUGGGUCAGCAGUUUCUAUAUUACCAGAAUCAGUUUUUCAUUAUUUUGGGAAUGUACCAUUUACUAAAAUGAAACUACAGCUGGUGUCUUAUUGAAAAAAAGACUGAGAAGGGGAUGUUUGCCUAUAAAAGCUCUUGGGUCAUGUUCAUCUGGAAAAUUCAGUAUUCUUGAUGGAGAUAUAUUUGAUGCAUUUGAAUUUUGGGAUAAUUGAUGGAUAUGCAGUCUGUUCCCAGUCAGACUGCUAUGGAACAGAUAGACACCAGUUGUGGUGGUAGAGGAGGAUCAGUACAAAAGCGAAUUGGGUUGUGGCCAGGGGUUUGUUGAUGAACUUAAAAUGAAGCAGAAUGUGGUACCUAUACAAAAGCUAUGGCACUUACCAUUCACACUUAGUCUAUAAUUGAAGAAAUGCAAGACUUGAUAGGAAAGGAUGUCAUUGAAGAGAUCAAGUCAUCUGAGUUUCACCUACAGCAGUGACCCCAGGAAAAAAAUGGUGGCAAUCAUCAUCUUGUGGAUUUGAGAGAGCCAGAUAAAAGCUAUUGUGGUUGAUGGUCAUCCACUUCAAAACAUAUAGGAAGAUUUUACAGAACUUUGGCAGGGGAUGCAAGGAUGGUCUCAACCCCUGACCUGCAGAGUGCAUACCAUCGUUACACUGCGUGAAGAUGAAGACCUCACAGCAAUAUGAAUAACACAUGGACUAUUGUGCUUGAAAUGUGUUCCCUAUGAGCUUGCAUCAGCACCAAGUGCCUUUCCAAAGAAUGAUGUCAGUAGUUCAGAAAAACUGGAAAGGAGUGCAAUGUUUGGAUGAUUGUCUUUUGGGGAACACACGUAAAGAACAUGGAAAUCAUUAUUGGUCAUCAUUGGCCUGUACUAAUGUAGCAGGUUUGGAGCUCAGUUUGGAUAAAUGUAGAUUGAGGCAAAUGGAACUUUCUUUCCUGGGAUGUAUCAUUUCAGUAGAGUGACUGAAGCCCAGUCCUCAGCGUGUCAGCCAUUUUAUCAGCACCUCCAUGUGAUAGACUGUUCUUUCUUGGGUCUUGUCUCCAGGUAUGCAGAACAUAUUCCAAAUAUAUUCCAAAAUUACAGUUGGCCUUUAUAUGGGGUGGCACAUGGUACUCAUCAAGGAAUUGAGGAAAGAGAGACAGAGAUUCUUACUGGUGAAUGGGGAUAGUUUCCCAAACAGAAAGAGCUAUAAAAUCAUGUGUUGCAUCUGAUUGACAUAGUAGCAUCAUUGUAGUCUGACCCACUUCCAGAUGCUGUGUGGGGAAAGAGAACUGCUUCCCAGCAUCCCAUUCUCACCUUUCUGGCAUCCUGUUCGCACUAUCGGAUUCCACUGAAAAGUCCCCUCUACUGCCCACCCCUCUCACAGAAAAUACCAAGUGCUGCCUGGAGCUGCCUACUCUUUUGGUCCUGGGACAGAGAUUCUAAUGAAACAUAAUCAUUAGAGUAAAAACUUUCCCCUUUUCCAAUACCCCUGGAUCAUUUAAGGGCAAACAAACAGACUAGCAUGCAGAGAUUUGCCCUGACCCUCAUCCAGGAGUGGAUAUUAUAUGGAGGCAGGGUGAGCACAGCCCCCCUUGAAUUACUGCAGCCACCAUUUUACCUUUUCUCCCUGAUGCCAAUUUAUGUUCCUCCGCUCUGCCCUUUUUCUUUUUUCAUUUUCAGGGCUCCUGGGGCAGCAGUAUUCCCCUUUCUAAAAGGGCCAAUUACCUGAAGCAUCAAUAAUGAAUAUUCUGGUCAAUUAUAAUCCUUUUUCUUUCUGA